rnacentral:rRNA from 1 species
UACGUAUGAUGCAAGCGUUGUUCGGAAUUAUUGGGCGUAAAGGGCAUUCAGGCGGGAUGAUAAGUCGGAUGUGAAAUCCCAAGGCUCAACCUUGGAACUGCACCCGAAACUGUCAUUCUUGAGUCAGGGAGAGGAAGGCGGAAUUCCCGGUGUAGCGGUGAAAUGCGUAGAUAUCGGGAAGAACACCAGUGGCGAAGGCGGCCUUCUGGCCUAUGACUGACGCUGAAGUGCGAAAGCGUGGGGAUCAAACGGG